rnacentral:tRNA from 1 species
AUCCUAUAACUCAGUUGGUAGAGUGUACGUUUGAUAAGCGUAAAGUCGUUGGUUCGAAUCCAUCUAGGCCUA